ACAUAAGUAGGAUAAUCCUUAUCUGUCUUUUUUUUGGAAGGCAGAUUGGAACAUGAUGAUUGACGUUCCCAAGAUACAUGAUUAACCCCUCUGCGUAAUCAAGUUCGCAACACCCUGAUUGCUCCUAUCUUAU
ensembl:snoRNA U8 U8 small nucleolar RNA